rnacentral:lncRNA from 1 species
UGUUUUGAUCCUGAGAAAAACCACUACCCUAGGAUAACUACCAGAGAACAACUGGCCAAAGACAUUGGCAUUCCAGAGUCUAAAAUACAUACUAGGUUUCAAAAGCAAAGAAUAUAUCACCUCAGGAAGAGUUGACUGGGGUCCGGAUGCUCUUGAGGAGAAGAACAACUCCGGUGAUAGCAGCUGCCUCAGCCUUGGACUUGGAAACAUUGCCAAGAAGCCAAACAAAAGCAAACACCCAUCAGUAGGUCACAAACCAGUAUCCUUCUUCAAGCCUUUAAGAAGAAUUGAUUUCCUGGAAUUGCUACUACAGAAGAAUUGGACUACAGAGGAAUUUCAGAAUCCAGAAUUCAGAUGUGGUUUCAGAAUCAAAAAGCUAGGCAUGCAGGGAAGA